CGAGCCGUAGCUCGGGUGGCGGGACCUCCGGGUGUGGAGGCCGCCGGUCACGGUUCGAGCGCGCUCGAACUCGUGAUUUUCCCACCGGGAACAGUAGUUCCCUGUUGUUUAGUCUCCGCUUGGAUGGAUUCCAAGCGUUUGCCUCUCACGCGUGGUGCCACAAAGGGACUGCAACGCACCCGUUUCCGCUUGCUUGGAUUCCAAGCGUUUGCCUCUCACGCGUGGUGCCACAAAGGGACUGCAACGCACCCGUUGCCUACGGAGCUUUGGAGGUUUCCGGUGAUUUCCAGAAGGACGCGGUCUUCAUAUCUGUGUGUAGUUGUAGGUCUGCUUGUACACGUGUGGUGUGAGUGUGGUGUGCGUGUGUAGGGUGGUGCGUGCGUGCGUGUAUAAACAGAUGCUACAGCUGUACCCAGAUGAGAGGCAUAAAAAAAAAAGUCACAGAAGUGGAAGACAGAGAGAUCUUCUUCCUCGUUGCUUUCUUUUUCAACUUCUCGCUCAAGGGCUCAAGGCAGGGAGGGCUUUCAACCGGCAGCCGCCGAGCCCGGGACACUGCGCCUUCGCCCUCCCCCCUCCAGGCUCCAGCCACCACAAUGGAGUCCGCCGUCAUCAAGGGGGAGUCGUUCUCGCCUUCCUGCCCCACGCUCAUCAUGCCAGCGCUGUCGAUUGGAAACGUGGGCCAGCUCGCCGUGGACCUUCUGAUAUCCUCGGCGAGGGCGAGAUGGGUGGCCUACCUCGACGAGCCCUCCGUGCUGCCCUGUGCCGGCAACGAUGCCUUCGGCCCCGAUGCCGUGGGAGACCUCGCGCUCGCUCUGGAAGCUUAUGAAUCUACGUCUCAUGGGCUGGCUUUCAUUCAGCAAAGAUCUCCUGUUAUCACAGGCAUGAUGGUUUCAUUUGCAAAAAAUGUUGCUGAUUUCAUAAGCAAUAUUGGAAAGGACCAUAUUGUUAUUCUUUCAAGUUUAGAUUCUGGCAAGAGGAGGGUAAUUGAUGCUUCGAGUGCCAUGCAGGUAUAUUACCUUUCAAGUUGCAAUGAAGAUGGUUCUGAUCCAGAAUAUGAGAAAUUGGGUUGGAAGAAACUUGAGGAGUAUGAUCCAUCUCAUAAACGUUGGAGUUGUCUUACUGGCCUAGUUGAGGGUGGUGUUUUUUCAGAAGAUAUGGUUGAUGACACUGAUGAGAUGACAAUAAAUGAUUAUUAUGCAAGCUUGCCAUUUGCAGCACUAUUCUAUGCCUGCAGGGCUAAAGGUUUGAAAGUUUCUUGUGUACUGUGCUACUGCUCAGAAGGUGACAACAUGCCAGAAUCUUUCCAGUUAGCUGAGGCUGUAUGUAAACUUCUAGGUCGUGGCCCUGAGAACUUACAUGGAAAUGGGUCGAAUGGAUGGACUGUUCCCUUGUCAUGGAAAUCAGUUUAUGGACCACCACCUGAUAUGUCUAUCUUCUAGUGGUGUGCACUGAUCUGCAGACUACCAAAAUCCAAUCACCAAGGAUAAGGUAGAGGGAUGAAUCCCCAUCAUUUAGGUGAAGUUGCCAUCAUGGAAAAUGCUGAAUUUAGAGUCGAGGAUGUUGAACUCUUACAUGAGGUUGUGUACCAGAAGUAUCCUGGAAGGUGUGUUGUAGGUGUUUUGGUCACGUGAUUAAAAAACUAACUCUUUCCCUGGGAUAAAUCAAUCGGAUACCUUUUAUAACUGAUAGCUGUGGCUGCGAAAAAGUCAGAUCUUUGUCAAUUCAGGUCUGCUAGAGUGGUUACGCUUGUUGCUUACCAUGUGCGAUCUCUAAUCAAAUCAUGGAAUUCCAAGCCUCU